UACGAGAGCCUCGAGCGUUAUCCGGAAUUAUUGGGCGUAAAGGGUGCGUAGGUUGCAAUGUUAGUCUUUUGUCAAAGCCCCGGGCUCAACCUGGGAGAGGCAAAAGAAACGGCAUAGCUAGAAAGUGUGAGGGGUGUACGGAACUCAUGGUGUAGGGGUGAAAUCCGUUGAUAUCAUGGGGAACACCAAAAGCGAAGGCAGUACACUGGCGCAUAUUUGACACUGAAGCACGAAAGCGUGGGUAGCGAAU
rnacentral:rRNA from 1 species